rnacentral:misc_RNA from 1 species
AACCAUAGAAACCUGCGGAGUACCUGCGGAAGGAUCAUUACCGAGUUAUACAACUCAUCAACCCUGUGAACAUACCUAUAACGUUGCCUCGGCGGGAACAGACGGCCCCGUAACACGGGCCGCCCCCGCCAGAGGACCCCCUAACUCUGUUUCUAUAAUGUUUCUUCUGAGUAAACAAGCAAAUAAAUUAAAACUUUCAGCAACGGAUCU